GAUGAACGCUAGCUACAGGCUUAACACAUGCAAGUCGAGGGGAAACGACAUCGAAAGCUUGCUUUUGAUGGGCGUCGACCGGCGCACGGGUGAGUAACGCGUAUCCAACCUGCCCAUCACUUGGGAAUAACCUUGCGAAAGUAAGACUAAUACCCAAUGAUAUCCCACGAAGGCAUCGGAAUGGGAUUAAAGAUUUAUCGGUGAUGGAUGGGGAUGCGUCUGAUUAGCUUGUUGGCGGGGUAACGGCCCACCAAGGCAACGAUCAGUAGGGGUUCUGAGAGGAAGGUCCCCCAGAUGGGAACUGAGACACGGUCCAAACUCCUACGGGAGGCAGCAGUGAGGAAUAUUGGUCAAUGGGCGAGAGCCUGAACCAGCCAAGUAGCGUGCAGGAAGGCGGCGCUAGGGGUUGUAAACUGCUUUUAUAAGGGAAUAAAGUGGGUCACGUGUGACUUUUUGCAUGUACCUGAUGAAUAAGGACCGGCUAAUUCCGUG
rnacentral:rRNA from 1 species